rnacentral:misc_RNA from 1 species
CCAGACUCCGCCACUAAGCAACAAAAGCUCACUCGAAUUCUAUAUCACUAAUGGAUUAUAAAACAUAAAAACAAGAUUAGCAGGGAAAAACAAAAAUAUAGAUAUCAGAAGGCCUCACGACUUGCUGAAGCGCGUGCACAACAAACGAAACCGGAGAGAUUCCAUGCCUUUCGGUCAAGAAACAACUACAGGAUUAGCUGGUGGUUAGAUCAGUAGAACAAGAAAGACAACAGUACAAAGAUAAGGAAACCACAUGAACAACAAGAACAACAGAACGAAAAGACCCCCUGCCGCUUAUAUACAACAUCCCCUUUUCAUAUGGUAAAUUGGCUUCACUUAAACUAGGAGAAAGAAAAAAAAAAUAUUAAGAAAAUCCCAUUGCAGAAAUCUCAAGAAUAGCACAAAACAAACUCUUAAAUGCUAAAUGAUGUUGUAGUUGUUACCCUUCUCAGUUUUACUCUUCUCUGUUAUGUUCGAUCAGUCCGGUUCCUGCUAUUCACCUGCUGUUGCUGCCCCUUGUUGCUCCCUUCUCUUUUUUGCGGCGACGAAGAAAACAGCUGACCAAACCCAAAUACGGAGACUGACUUGGAUGUCCCUCUCAGGGAACAAACGGGGACAUUGAGAACCGGAGUCACUCUCACGUUUGCUGAAUAUGACCUCUCCAUUCCCCUGUGCUUGAAUCUUGGGCCUCCGUUAAGGCUACUUGGACUGCUGGAACUCCUCUCCA